UACGUAGGGUGCAAGCGUUGUCCGGAAUUAUUGGGCGUAAAGAGCUCGUAGGCGGUUUGUCGCGUCUGGUGUGAAAAUCCAGGGCUUAACCCUGGACCUGCAUCGGGUACGGGCAGACUAGAGUGCGGUAGGGGAGAUCGGAAUUCCUGGUGUAGCGGUGAAAUGCGCAGAUAUCAGGAGGAACACCGGUGGCGAAGGCGGAUCUCUGGGCAUCAUCUGACGCUGAGGCGCGAAAGCGUGGGUAGCAAACAGG
rnacentral:rRNA from 1 species